rnacentral:misc_RNA from 1 species
GAUGAAGAACGUAGCGAAAUGCGAUAAGUAAUGUGAAUUGCAGAAUUCAGUGAAUCAUCGAAUCUUUGAACGCACAUUGCGCCCGCUAGUAUUCUAGCGGGCAUGCCUGUUCGAGCGUCAUUACAACCCUCAGGCCCCCGGGCCUGGCGUUGGGGAUCGGCGGAGCCCCCCGUGGGCACACGCCGUCCCCCAAAUGCAGUGGCGGUCCCGCCGCAGCUUCCAUCGCGUAGUAGCUAACACCUCGCGACUGGAGAGCGGCGCGGCCACGCCGUAAAACACCCAACUCUUCUGAAGUUGACCUCGAAUCAGGUAGGAAUACCCGCUGAACUUAAGCAUAUCAAUAAGCGGAGGA